rnacentral:rRNA from 1 species
AGAAUGAACGCUGGCGGCAUGCCUAACACAUGCAAGUCGAACGAAGGCCCGAUUUCGGUUGGGUCCUUAGUGGCGCACGGGUGCGUAACGCGUGGGAAUCUACCCCUAGGUUCGGAAUAACAGCGAGAAAUUGCUGCUAAUACCGGAUAAUGACGUAAGUCCAAAGAUUUAUCGCCAAGGGAUGAGCCCGCGUAGGAUUAGCUAGUUGGUGUGGUAAAGGCGCACCAAGGCGACGAUCCUUAGCUGGUCUGAGAGGAUGAUCAGCCACACUGGGACUGAGACACGGCCCAGACUCCUACGGGAGGCAGCAGUGGGGAAUAUUGGACAAUGGGCGAAAGCCUGAUCCAGCAAUGCCGCGUGAGUGAUGAAGGCCUUAGGGUUGUAAGCUCUUUUACCCGGGAUGAUAAUGACAGUACCGGGAGAAUAAGCUCCGGCUAACUCCGUGCCAGCAGCCGC